GGGGAGGGAGACACCAUGGUUGUAAAGGCGGUUUUUCCCGGGGCGAGGCUUAUCCAUUGUUCUCUGGUUUGGUUGAUCUCUGUAUUUUCCCCCAAUGUGGGAAACU
rnacentral:snRNA from 1 species